rnacentral:tRNA from 1 species
GUGCCUGUAGCUCAGUAGGAUAGAGCGACCGCCUCCUAAGCGGUAGGUCGGAGGUUCGAAUCCUCUCAGGCGCGCCA